GAGUUUGAUCAUGGCUCAGAGCGAACGCUAGCGGCAUGCCUCAAACAUGCAAGUCGAACGAGAAAGUACCUUCGGGUAUUAGUAUAGUGGCGCACGGGUGCGUAACACGUAGCUAACAUACCCCCUCGCUGGGGAUAACUCCGGGAAACCGGGGCUAAUACCGAAUGGUCUAGUUUCCCAUAAGGGAGAUUGGUAAAGCCUUCGGGCGCGAGGGGAUUGGGCUGCGCUCCAUUAGCUUGUUGGUAGGGUAACGGCCUACCAAGGCAGUGAUGGAUAGCUGGUCUGAGAGGAUAAUCAGCCACACUGGAACUGAAACACGGUCCAGACUCCCACGGGAGGCAGCAGUUGGGAAUAUUGCACAAUGGGGGAAACCCUGAUGCAGCAAUGCCGCGUGAGUGAUGAAGGCCCUAGGGUCGUAAAGCUCUUUCAGCAGGGAAGAAUAAAAUGACGGUACCUGCAGAAGAAGCCCCGGCUAACUCCGUGCCAGCAGCCGCGGUAAUACGGAGGGUGCAAGCGUUGCUCGGAAUCAUUGGGCGUAAAGCGCGUGUAGGCGAUCUAUUAAAUCUGGUGUGAAAGCCCGGGGCUCAACCCCGGAAGUGCACUGGAUACUGGUAGACUAGAGAACGAGAGAGGGAGGUAGAAUUCCUGGUGGAGGGGUGAAAUCCGUAGAUAUCAGGAGGAAUAUCCGAGGCGAAGGCGGCCUCCUGGCUCGUAACUGACGCUGAGACGCGAAAGCGUGGGGAGCAAACAGGAUUAGAUACUCUGGUAGUCCACGCCCUAAACGAUGGAUACUAGUCGUUGGAGUUCCUAAUUGCUUCAGUGACGUAGCUAACGCGUUAAGUAUCCCGCCUGGGGAG
rnacentral:rRNA from 1 species